CCGGGCUCCGGGGCUCCGGGGCGUCUGGCCUGGGUGGGACUGAGCCCAUCCAGGGACUGGGACUCCGGGGUUGUGGUGUAGGUGGAUCCGGGGCAGGCUCAGGACCAAGUCCCACUCCUUCCACCAAGGAGCGCCCAGAGGCCGGCGGCAGCUCCAGGUUCACCUCCUCCUCCUCCAGGCCAUUUCCAAUCCAGAGGAAGACCUUCUAAAAGAGGUGAUGGAUGGGAGAGUGCUGACAUACUAUGUGAAGCUACUAUUUGGAGUUGGACACGAGUGCAUGUGACCUUGUGCCACAGCGGCAAUCUUGACUACCACACAAAUGAAUCCAUUCAAAUGUUGGCAAGUGGAGCAGAGUCCCAGGACAGGAGGCGCUCGGAAACCACCGUGAAUUGGACCGCACUGGGAAGCACAGAUGAAGAAAUUCAGCACCGCUUUGUCCUUCAGUGCCUGGCUGCUUUUUCAGCUCGUCUUGCGACUCCAGGCAAAGGGCCUCUGAGGGAGUAUUAC
rnacentral:lncRNA from 1 species